UACGAAGGGGGCUAGCGUUGCUCGGAAUUACUGGGCGUAAAGGGCGCGUAGGCGGCUGUUUAAGUCGGGGGUGAAAGCCCGGGGCUCAACCUCGGAAUUGCCUCCGAUACUGGACAUCUUGAGUACGGGAGAGGUGAGUGGAACUCCGAGUGUAGAGGUGAAAUUCGUAGAUAUUCGGAAGAACACCAGUGGCGAAGGCGACUCACUGGCCCGUUACUGACGCUGAGGCGCGAAAGCGUGGGGAGCAAACAGG
rnacentral:rRNA from 1 species